rnacentral:rRNA from 1 species
AUUGAACGCUGGCGGCAUGCCUAACACAUGCAAGUCGAGCGGAGCGGCGGACGGGUGAGUAAUGCCUAGGAAUCUGCCUGGAAGUGGGGGAUAACGUCAGGAAACGGGCGCUAAUACCGCAUACUCUCAGAUGAGCCUAGGUCGGAUUCUCUGGUGGUUGUGGUAAAGGCCUACCAAGGCGACGAUCCGUACCUGUGCUGAGAGGAUGAUCAGUCACACUGGAACUGAGACACGGUCCAGACUCCUACGGGAGGCAGCAGUGGGGAAGAUUGUACAAUGGGCGAAAGCCUGAUCCAGCCAUGCCGCGUGAGUGAAGAAGGUCUUCGGAUUGUAAAGCACUUUAAGUUGGGAGGCGUUACCAACAGAAUAAGCACCGGCUAACUUCGUGCCAGCAGCCGCGGUAAUUC